UGCUGGCGCAAGUCGUCUUGCGCCAGGCGACUGGGUCUGAGGAGGCAGGAGUUAUUCAUUCCCUUAAGCUUUCAGGCCGGGGGGAGAAUCUUUCAGGUGGUAGCUGCAAGAACUCUUAGUAUGUUGACCUCACCUCUGCCUUCCACAUACCACUACCAGUGAGGAAUUAGGAAUGCAUGAGAAGAGUGUCCAAGAAGAGUGUCCUCAUUCAUGCAAGGCUUAAGAGAGAAUGCAGGUCAACAUCACCAUGUCAAUCAGAGAAUACUUCUGUUGGGUUGAAUGACUCUCUGCCCCCAGUCUGACUGGUUGGAAGAGGCCCUUUUCCCAGCCUUUGUGAAAGAGAUCUUCAUGUAAACAGAGUCCCUCUUAUUGGCUGAAGUGAAGAGUCAUUCUGAGGCAUCUCAAGAUGAAGGUUUCCUAUUUGUGAUUAUGAAAAAAAUGUCAAGAACAAGUCCCUUGGUGUUCUUAGACCAAAGUCAGAACAACAGACCUAUUUAUGUCUACAAGACGCUGUUGAGAGCAACUUGAUUCCUCAUUCAUUUUUGUUUCCCACAAAGUUUAUGCCUGAAAUGUGUGUAUAAACAACAUUUGAAAGAAGAAAUGGAAAUCUCCCAUCACUACAUCUCAGUAUGAAGAGAUGGAGGGAAGUUAAGUCCUAAAUGACCAGAUUUGGAUGUUACAUGACAGGUGGCUUCUGCACAGUAAACUGAGGCAGAACUGUAAGUGAUGAGUAGGUAUUCAAGAAUGAAAGAGAUCAUGACCAAGGACAGCCACAUCCGACCAUUCGUUGUGUUUUGUUGAUAUGCCCUGACAAUAGAUGACAUAACCAAAGAAAGAAACUGCU
rnacentral:lncRNA from 1 species